GAUGAACGCUGGCGGCGUGCCUAAUACAUGCAAGUCGAGCGAACGGACGAGAAGCUUGCUUCUCUGAUGUUAGCGGCGGACGGGUGAGUAACACGUGGAUAACCUACCUAUAAGACUGGGAUAACUUCGGGAAACCGUAGCUAAUACCGGAUAAUAUUUUGAACCGCAUGGUUCAAAAGUGAAAGACGUUCUUGCUGUCACUUAUAGAUGGAUCCGCGCUGCAUUAGCUAGUUGGUAAGGUAACGGCUUACCAAGGCAACGAUGCAUAGCCGACCUGAGAGGGUGAUCGGCCACACUGGAACUGGGACACGGUCCAGACUCCUACGGGAGGCAGCAGUAGGGAAUCUUCCGCAAUGGGCGAAAGCCUGACGGAGCAACGCCGCGUGAGUGAUGAAGGUCUUCGGAUCGUAAAACUCUGUUAUUAGGGAAGAACAUAUGUGUAAGUAACUGUGCACAUCUUGACGGUACCUAAUCAGAAAGCCACGGCUAACUACGUG
rnacentral:rRNA from 1 species